UUCCCUAUGGCUCAGUUGGUAGAGCAUGGUGUUUGCAACGCCAGCAUGGUGUGUGCAACACCAGGGUUGUGGGUUCGAUUCCCACGGGGGGGC
rnacentral:tRNA from 1 species